rnacentral:piRNA from 1 species
UAAUACAUGUAGGGUGUGUUCUGGGUGGU